AUGAACGGUGAAGAUGGAGGGAAGUUUGCGGGGGAGGAUGACGAUGAUCAGAAGGAAGACGAAGAAGCUGACUGGGAUCAGUAUGGCCCAUCACAUAAUCUGGAGGACAUGUUCGAGAACCUCAACCUGCAUGGAGAGGGGGAGGAAGAUCUAGAUUUGUCUAGGGAGGUAGAAGAAUUGAUCAAGGACGUCCGGUGGCUGGCACUUUUUAGGGUUCAUACCCUGCGGCCGUUUAGUCAUGCUUCCCUGCUAAACUCGAUGAGGAAUGCUUGGGCUUGUGCGCAGGGGGUGACCUUCAACAUCAAAGGACCCAACCUGUUUUUGGCUCAAUGUCAUUGUUUAGGGGAUUGGAAGCGCAUGAUGGAAGGGGGGCCAUGGCAGUUCAGAAGGGAUCCGGUGGUAUUGGUAGAGUAUGAUGGCUUCUCGAACAUGGAAGAAUAUGCUUUGAACAUGUAUCCACUUUGGGCUAGGAUAAAAGGUUUGCCUAACGGCUUGACAAGGAAGAAGGAAUUGGCGGAGAAGGUGGCAAAGAAGGUAGGAGAACCUCCGUUUACUGUGACUGUUAAUGAAGGGAAGAUUAAUCCAUCCAACUACUUGCGGGUUCGGGUGUUUGUUAAUGUCACAUUGCCAUUAGUGAGGUUUGUCCAUAUAACUUUGAAGGAGAGGAAGAGGUAUUCGGUGUUCUAUGAAAAGCUCCCAGAUUUCUGCUAUUUCUGUGGCCGUAUGGGACAUGUUGUGGAGGAGUGCGGGGAUGGAGUCCAUGGCAGUGCAUUAUGCGAAUGGGGGGAACUGGUGGCAUUGGGUCAGCGAGCCGGUGGGCUCGGGUACAAGAGGAGGUAG
rnacentral:rRNA from 1 species